UACGAAGGGGGCGAGCGUUGUUCGGAAUUACUGGGCGUAAAGAGCGCGCAGGCGGUCGUUCAAGUCGCGUGUGAAAGCCCCCGGCUCAACUGGGGAGGGUCACGCGAUACUGAUCGACUCGAAGGCAGGAGAGGGAAGUGGAAUUCCCGGUGUAGUGGUGAAAUGCGUAGAUAUCGGGAGGAACACCAGUGGCGAAGGCGACUUCCUGGCCUGUUCUUGACGCUGAGGCGCGAAAGCUAGGGGAGCAAACGGG
rnacentral:rRNA from 1 species